CCUACGGGGGGCUGCAGUGGGGAAUAUUGCACAAUGGGCGCAAGCCUGAUGCAGCCAUGCCGCGUGUGUGAAGAAGGGCUUCGGGUUGUAAAGCACUUUCAGCGGGGAGGAAGGCGGUGAGGUUAAUAACCUCAUCGAUUGACGUUACCCGCAGAAGAAGCACCGGCUAACUCCGUGCCAGCAGCCGCGGUAAUACGGAGGGUGCAAGCGUUAAUCGGAAUUACUGGGCGUAAAGCGCACGCAGGCGGUCUGUCAAGUCGGAUGUGAAAUCCCCGGGCUCAACCUGGGAACUGCAUUCGAAACUGGCAGGCUAGAGUCUUGUAGAGGGGGGUAGAAUUCCAGGUGUAGCGGUGAAAUGCGUAGAGAUCUGGAGGAAUACCGGUGGCGAAGGCGGCCCCCUGGACAAAGACUGACGCUCAGGUGCGAAAGCGUGGGGAGCAAACAGGAUUAGAUACCCCGGUAGUC
rnacentral:rRNA from 1 species